CGGGGUGUGGCGCAGCUUGGAAGCGCGCUUCGUUCGGGUCGAAGAGGUCGUGGGUUCAAAUCCCGCCACCCCGA
rnacentral:tRNA from 1 species